rnacentral:rRNA from 1 species
ACAGCUCAAAUUUGAAAUCUGGCCCUCGGGUCCGAAUUGUAAUUUGUAGAGGAUGAUUUUGGUGCGGUAUCUUCCGAGUUCCUUGGAACAGGACGCCUUAGAGGGUGAGAGCCCCGUACGGUUGAAUGCCUAGCCUCUGUAAAUCUCCUUCGACGAGUCGAGUAGUUUGGGAAUGCUGCUCUAAAUGGGAGGUAAAUUUCUUCUAAAGCUAAAUAUUGGCCAGAGACCGAUAGCGCACAAGUAGAGUGAUCGAAAGAUGAAAAGCACUUUGAAAAGAGGGUUAAAUAGCACGUGAAAUUGUUGAAAGGGAAGGAUUUGUGACCAGACUUUUUCUGGGCGGAUCAUCCGGGGUUCUCUCCGGUGCACUUUGCCCAGUAAAGGCCAGCAUCGAUUUUCGGCGGCGGAUAAAAGCAGUGGGAAUGUGGCUCCCUACGGGGAGUGUUAUAGCCCAUUGUAUAAUACGCUGCUGGGGAUCGAGGUACGCGCUUCUGCAAGGAUGCUGGCGUAAUGGUUAUCAAUCACCCGUC